rnacentral:lncRNA from 1 species
UGGUGGUGUUCGACGACUCUCUCUCUCCUCUCUCUCUCUCUCUCUCUGAUGCUGAACUUCAGAAAAUUUACUACGUUUAUUAUAUACAUUGAUUUGUAUUUUACAUUGUUUCAGGCUUUAUAGUAUUUCAAUAAGUUGCACGCAUGCCCAAUGAUUAGCAAAUAAGUACAGUUUGUUAAUAUACCGCUAGCCUUAUAGAAUAAACCUUUUCUUGAGCGAAAGUGAAUUAUAAAGAUCUUUAAAUAUAUCUAGCAGCUAAAUUUUCUAGGAUAUAUAUACAUGAUUACCUUUUAAGCACGGCGCGGCUUACCACGGGCAAAUUACCAGUUGCCUAAUAACUGAGACUAUGCAUACAGCUUGUGUUGACUAAAUUACACUAUUGACACUUCAUAAGAAUUACAAGAAGAUACUGAUAAAGUAUCUUAAUAUAAUAUGCUUAUGGCUGUAUGCACCUCAGGGGUAAUCAAUCUACAUACAUGUAACACAUAUGUAAUAUAAAAGGACUAGACAGACUAUAGACACGCAAGACUAGAAGUCCGUAGCACGGACAUGUUUCCAUAGCUACAGUAUUUCAAAACAAGUCCUUAGAAAUUUAGGUUAAUCUCGCAUGCAUUGCUACUAUUCUCACGUGUCGAUCUAUAUCCAUGCGUUAUUAAUGAAUUUGAUACACAAAUCAACAAUGGACUUUUCUCACGUGUCAGCCAUGUUGGAAUGAAAAUCUAGGCAUAUUUGAUUGCCCCCGCUCUUUUGCUGUUCGUGCGUUAUUAGUCUUGUUUUAAUUCCAACAUGACUGACACACGAGGAAGGCCUAUAUGUCAUGUUUAAGAUCACACCAUAGUUUGUUUGGAGUAUUUCAUCGGUCCGUGCCCUCUUUCUGAUCUUCAUUCGUGAAAAACUUUGCAUUUCAUAGCUUAUGAACUGUUAAAGUGUUAAAAAUGUUAACUUUCAACCCCGGGGUUGAACUCUGCGUUAGCCCUGCCAACCGGGUUGAAAUGUUUUGCGAUUACAUGGACGAUUUCAAUCCCGGGGUUGAAAUCUAUACGUUCCCGACAUUGAUCCCCGGAAGUAAAGAAAAGCGGCUCCAUAGCCUCCAUUCUGUUUUCUUGUAACAAAUAUGGUCACUACUGCGCAUGCUUGAAUAAUUUCAGCCCUGGGUUCAGUGAAACGAUUACAUACAACAUUUUGAACCCAGGACUGAGUUCAACCCCAGGGUUGAAAUUCCAACCCUGCUAGCUGAAGCAGGGUUGAAAUUUCAACCCCAGGGUUGAACUCAGCCCGGGGUUGAAAAUUUUAUCAUGUAAUAGCGCGUUUGAGCUUCACAAAGUUUUGUAUUACAGACACGGCUGAAAUUUCAACCCGGUCUGCAGGGCUUAGUUCAACCCCGGGGUUGAAAAUGCUCCGUGUAAUCGGUCCUAAGUAUCUUAAUAUAAUAUGCACUUAUAUGCUUAUGGCUGUAUGCACCUCAGGGGUAAUCAAUCUACAUUUAUUUAACACGUAUAUUAUAUACAAGACUAGACGGACUAUACAGAAGACAAGCAAGACUAGAAGUCCCUAACACGGACAUGUUUCCCGCAUAGCUCUUUCAAAACAAGUCCUAAGAAAUUUAGGUUAAUCACGCAUGCAUGACUAUUGUUUUUACGUGUCCAUCUAUGUGCAUGCGUUAAUAAUUAAUUUUAUAUACAAAUCAACAAUAUGCUUUUCUCACGUGUCAGCCAUGUUGAAACGAAAAACAAGGCAAAUUACGCAACGAAGAUGCAACUUGAUUGCCUCCGCUUUUUCUGCUGUUCGUGCGUUAUUAGCCUCGUUUUAAUUCCAACAUGACUGACACGCGAGGAAGGCCCAUAUGUCAUCUUUAAGAUUCUACCAUAGUUUUUUAUAGCAUUUCACUGGUCCGUUAUUUUCAGUGCCACGAUAGCCGCCUCUUUCCGUUCGUGAAAACUGAUUGCGUUCUAUGUGAGUGAAAGCCCUUUUAUAAUGCUCGUCAGCCGUUUAGCGUGCUGAUAGACGAAUAGGAUUACCACUAAUUGGCAAAGAGUUGUGAUUUAACUAUAACUCAAGUUAACACGGAAUUUAUGAACCUUUGAGAUUAAUAAGCCGUAAUAUUAAAACAUGUUUAUCGAAAGUCAACAUGGUCUCUUAUUCCCUGUCAUGUACAUCAUCAUACAGCUGUUCAUAUUAAGAUUGCAUCUAAUUAAUUGUUGCACCACAAGACUUUGCCCCAUAGGGGUGACGGCCUUUAGGGGGAGAUAAGUCUCACCAGCAGGCCUAGAAAAUAUAUUUCUCUUGGCUGGCAGCAAAAUCCAAAAAUAAAAAUUUCCUUUUUAAGUCAAUUAUAAGACUUCCUGCAUAUGUAGAUUUCAGAGAACGGAUGGCGAUAAACUACAAUCUCAGCACAAGACAAUCUCGACUGGCAAAAUGCUUUUGGACUUUUUAAACAAUAAGUAAAUUAUAUGGCAUUUAAAUACAGACACACAGGCACUAUAAUAAUAUUAGCCUGCGAACAGGCUCUCAAGCUGAAUUGAGAGCCUGCAUCGAUGACUUAUGAAUUUGAAUAUCUGCCCCGUAACGUUCGUUUUUCCAAAUAUGGAAUGUCUAUCCUUAUAUGGUGUUGUUUACAACUUUCGUGCAAACUAAAUUUAGA